AAUGGGUCAGCGACUUAUAUUCUGUAGCAAGGUUAACCGAAUAGGGGAGCCGAAGGGAAACCGAGUCUUAACUGGGCGUUAAGUUGCAGGGUAUAGACCCGAAACCCGGUGAUCUAGCCAUGGGCAGGUUGAAGGUUGGGUAACACUAACUGGAGGACCGAACCGACUAAUGUUGAAAAAUUAGCGGAUGACUUGUGGCUGGGGGUGAAAGGCCAAUCAAACCGGGAGAUAGCUGGUUCUCCCCGAAAGCUAUUUAGGUAGCGCCUCGUGAAUUCAUCUCCGGGGGUAGAGCACUGUUUCGGCAAGGGGGUCAUCCCGACUUACCAACCCGAUGCAAACUGCGAAUACCGGAGAAUGUUAUCACGGGAGACACACGGCGGGUGCUAACGUCCGUCGUGAAGAGGGAAACAACCCAGACCGCCAGCUAAGGUCCCAAAGUCAUGGUUAAGUGGGAAACGAUGUGGGAAGGCCCAGACAGCCAGGAUGUUGGCUUAGAAGCAGCCAUCAUUUAAAGAAAGCGUAAUAGCUCACUGGUCGAGUCGGCCUGCGCGGAAGAUGUAACGGGGCUAAACCAUGCACCGAAGCUGCGGCAGCGACGCUUAUGCGUUGUUGGGUAGGGGAGCGUUCUGUAAGCCUGUGAAGGUGUGCUGUGAGGCAUGCUGGAGGUAUCAGAAGUGCGAAUGCUGACAUAAGUAACGAUAAAGCGGGUGAAAAGCCCGCUCGCCGGAAGACCAAGGGUUCCUGUCCAACGUUAAUCGGGGCAGGGUGAGUCGACCCCUAAGGCGAGGCCGAAAGGCGUAGUCGAUGGGAAACAGGUUAAUAUUCCUGUACU
rnacentral:rRNA from 1 species